UUAAAAUUAAAUGGCGAUUGUCGGUAUGGUCGCUUUUUCAAACAAUAUACCAUUAUCUAUAUAAAGUGACUAGACCGAACACUCGUGCUAUAAUUUUAAAAU
rnacentral:pre_miRNA from 1 species